rnacentral:lncRNA from 1 species
GUUUGAGGUGGUCAUGAUCAUUGUCAAAAGACACCAUGAUAUAUGAAAAGGAGUUCUGUUGCUAUGGUUAUGAUUAGUGAGGCUAGAUGGAUUUGGUAACUGGGUUCAAUUCAUAGGCCUAUUUAACAAACAUGAUGUGCUUAGACCAAGAGGGAGUACUCUUAUUUGGGCAUUUAAUAGUUAUUUUCAUUGCAGUAGGAUACAAACCUAAGCUCAAAUGGGGCAGCUAAAAUGGCAUGGCUAGCACUAUGCAGUAGGAGGUUGUGCU